UACCAACUCGUCUGCAAAGAAUAAGAUUACAACAGUGUAUAUGUAAGACAGGAGGCUCUGUCACGUGGAAGCUCUUAGUUUCAGUAUCCGGAACCCAGUGAAGGAGUAUUUCAAGUCUGAAUUUUUCUUACGCGUUUGUCUGAACCCUCCAGCCCUCAAGAUCUAGGCACCUCAAGAUCCCAACAUCAUGACCUCAGUUUCAACACAGUUGUUCUUAGUUCUCAUUUCACUGCUUUUGGUGCUGCCUGCUGUUGAAGCAGUCGAAGCUGGAGAUGCAAUCGCUCUCUUGUUGGGUGUGGUUCUGAGCAUUACAGGCAUUUGUGCUUGUUUGGGUGUAUACGCACGGAAAAGAAAUGGACAAAUGUGACUUUGAAGGGCCCUCUGAAUCAAAACUUAUCCUGAAGACCUUCAUGCAGUUAAGGUUGAAAGUGUGUCUAAACAUUCCCAUAUAAAUGGGAACAAAUUGAUAUGUGUUCAAUGGGGGAAAACGGUUUCUUCACAACAAAUAAUGCACUGAAAAAUGCUGCCUAUAACUUGUUUCUGCUACUUUAAAAAGGGUCAAAGAUAUAAGAGUACUGAAAUCUGCAUAAGUAAUAUUUCAUAGUUUCAUAAUUCUCAAGGCACAUGAAAUAGAAAAGAAAUUUUUGCCCAGAAUCCUAGGAAAUUGCCAGUGUUUUCUUACAAUCACUGCCUCCUGAAUUGUUGAGGAAUCUUCUCCAUAUUUUUAGUGGAUUAUUGUUUAGCUGUCUUCCAUAUUAAUACUGUACUUAGAUAAUCAAACACAGUCAAAAGCUAGAACAUUUCAUCAGAGAAAUAACUUAGUCUUACCUAACAUUAAAAUGAAGAAAAAACUUAUGUAAAAAAAAUUCUUUAUAUUGACAUUGAAAUGGAGUAGAUUCAAUGUUUGGGGAGAGGGGAACCCUUUGUAUUAAUUGAAUAACAUCCCCAUAGUGAAAAGUACUAUAUUAAAUAUAAACCCAUCAUGUUGUAAGUUGAUGUGUGGUGUCCAUUUCUGUCUAUUUCAGGCUGCUUUUGUCUUUGUGUGGACUUUUAUAUAAGCUAAGUGGAAAAGGGCAUGCCUUAACUGAUUACAUUGGCUUGUAGAAGCAGUCAGUAAAAAUGAAAAAUGGGCAACAUUUAAGUGAAGUCCCUAGAAAAAAAAUCCAGUUACAAAAGGGAAAUGGUAUGGCCUGUACACCAGCCAGUUGAGAUAUACUCCUAGUCUUGCUACUUAGUAUUCUCAAUCCAGCAGUAUCACAUGGGUUGGCUUACUAGACAUGCAGAAUCUCAGAAUCCACCUAGGCAUAUCAGAUGAGAAUUUACUUUUGUUUCAAGAGCCCAGGAUAAUUUGUGUGCACAUGAAAGCUUAAGAAAACAACUUAUUAGAAACAGAAUCAUGCCAAGUACAUGAUGAAAUUCAGAUUCCCUCCUCUGGUUGUAAGUAAUUAUAGUUUGAGCCUAUGUUUAACAAACAUCCAGUGAUUCUUCAGAUUCUAUAGAAGCAGACAGCAUAAAAUAG